ensembl:lncRNA
CUCAGCUCUCCGAUUAGCUCUCACAUGCAGGAGUGACGCUUCAUUUCUGCUUGACGGUUGGGGUUUUAAACACAUUAUGAAGGGCGAGAUUUCCCGUCGUUAUUUUACCUCCAGCUCUUUAAGCACCUCGUCUCCGACACCAUUUCUGACAAUAACCGCGUGGUAAUGCGCGGCCUCGUGGCAUCUCGCGGCUUUCCAUUUUAGCAAAGAGCGGGUUUUGGGGGGAGGGAGGCGACGUUCGCCCCUGUUAGCUCACUAAUGGGUUUUGUCAGUGGGGUAUCUGUCAGAAAUAAUGCAUUUAUAAUGCAGGUCACUUAUUGGGGGGGGGGCGGCUGUCGAUAGCGACCCCCACCCCCCUCGCCCCCCCCCUCGACGAGUCAUGCAAAUAGCCCUCGGAUUUGAUGUUCAGACGUCAGCUUCCCGUUGACCAAGAAGGUGAACUUUGAGCUUUUCUUCGCUCAAGGAAAAAGAAAACGUCUCCUUUUCUUCAUUUAUCGGUUACGCUGAGGAAGUGCUCUCCUUUAGGAAUCCACCCGCCGCUGAGAUUUUUCAACGUGAAAUGGCAAGUGAUUUUGUGUAGAGUAGAAUAUAAAAACUGUGACCAGCUUCGCCUUAUUACGAAUACUGUAAAUGCCCCACGAUCCGCUUUUUAGAACGUUCCGUCAGAGGCGCAAGUGGUUUAAGUGUUACACGUCUGUUAUAGUCAAACAGGGCAGGUCUGCCUGAGUCCGUGUCGGUAUUUUUGAAGCUGUUGUCCUCAGUUUUAUUUCUGCGAUUGUGCGGAUCCGCAGGAAACUUUUCAGAAAGUUUUGAAUUUCUAUCCUUUUUUUAUGAUUACCGUUAUUGUGAAUGUUGCGUUUUGGAGUCCAGCGAUUCUUUUCAUCGUGGCCUCUGUGUUGCUAAAGCUUGCUAAAGUUGUACUUCUGACUGACUCUUCGAGCUACCUCCCCCCCUCCCUCUCACUAUGACGGAGUCCAGAGCCGUGGGCGACCCCAACGAGGUCAAGGGUCGUAUUUGGGGCCGAAAAUGGAUUUCCCACGUGUGUCCGCAGGAGUGUGAAUGAGCACGUGACGAAGGAGCACUCUGGUAACGUGGAAUUAAGAUAUGAAGUCACAUCACAAUAUUCUCUCUCUGGCGUUUGCUCUCAUUCAUUCGUAGAAACUCCUCUCAGCUGCUUUUAGCUUCCAGCUGUUUUGGCUUUAAUAAGCGCUUAUUGUAUUCAAGGAAUAUGUAAAGCUCCCUCUUGCAUCAGAGCCGCUGGGGGGGGGGGGUAAAUAACGCUCAGCUGUCACUUUCUCACGUCCGUCAGGAGGCGAUAAAGAUGAAUUAGGAAAGGCAAACACCAAAAGACGCCUUCUGAAAGCUGACGAGCUCAUUGUGAAUAUUUUUGACAAACGUCCCCAAAAGGAUCCAGAUCAACUUAUUUCGUCCGAUUUAAUCAAUUUCUUCAUUUUCCCCUUCGUCGGGACAAAGGUUCGAACUGUCAUCUACUGUAUCUGCUUCAUGCAUCGGCUUCAGUAUUCCUUGCUGUUGUUUUUUUUUAGUCGGAAACUGUGAGGUUUAUUCCCGCUUGGCGUCCUGUGGAAGCCGACCGAUCGUGAUCCACAACAUGAAGCAAAGAGUUUGGUGAAAAAAAAAAAAAAGAAAUCAGUCAAGCUUGAAGGCCGAUCUGACCGCGGGUUCGACUCCCACUUUCGGUCCGGUCGGGCCUCCACAGGCACAGACGAAAGUUACGGCCGGCCUCUGACGUGAGCACACUUCAGGGGCCGUGGGUAAUUGAGAUAUUUUUCUUUUUCUUUCCCGGCAGAAGGAAAUCACAGAGAGGGAGAGAAACGCGAGGCCGGAUCUCACACUUCAUCAGUUAAAUGAUGCUGAACCAUGUUUAGUGAAAAGGAGGAGACCUCUGACUGAUGUUAGACUUAAAUAUACAUUUUGCAGCUCUCUGCCCAUUUGCGUGAAACACAUUAAAUAAAAAAAUAAAAAAGAUAGUAUGCAGUUUCCUGUCUUCUAUCAGCAUAAUUGUCUCUGAACUCAGUCGUGGCGCUGGUGCAAUCGUUCUUGGUGACGCUGUAAAAAAAUAAAACGCAAAUGAUUCAUUUCCUGUGAGCUACUAUGAUGUGAAAUGGGCAGAGUAGAAGCAGAACAUGAUACAAUAAGAUGCCGUCAUUUCCUCUCUUUUUUUUUCUUCUGCGUUGUCACUUUACCUUGAUCCCAGCCUCUGGAUUUUUUUUUCUUAAUGUUUUUUUCUCGCUGAUGUUUUUUCGCCUCGGCCGCCAUCUUGAAUGUUGAGUAUUUCUGAUCGUGUGCUGUUGUCACUUGCAAAGCAGUGUUCGCUAUCAAGGAGGGAAAAGUACUCUUUAUGUUUGCUAUCCUGAGUACGUCCACAUUCCUAUUGUUCAUGACAUCUGUACAAUUUGUAUAUUAUAAAAUGAUUUAUAUUUAA